ACGAACGCUGGCGGCUUGCUCAUCCCAUGCAAGUCGAACGGAAAGGCCCUGCUUUUGUGGGGUGCUCGAGUGGCGAACGGGUGAGUAACACGUGAGUAACCUGCCCUUGACUUUGGGAUAACUUCAGGAAACUGGGGCUAAUACCGGAUAGGAGCUCCUUCUGCAUGGUGGGGGUUGGAAAGUUUCGGCGGUUGGGGAUGGACUCGCGGCUUAUCAGCUUGUUGGUGGGGUAGUGGCUUACCAAGGCUUUGACGGGUAGCCGGCCUGAGAGGGUGACAGGCCACAAUGGGACUGAGAUACGGCCCAGACUCCUACGGGAGGCAGCAGUGGAGAAUAGUGCACAAUGGGCGGAAGCCUGAUGCAGCAACGCCGCGUGCGGGAUGACGGCCUUCGGGUUGUAAACCGCUUUCGCCUGUGACGAAGCGUGAGUGACGGUAAUGGGUAAAGAAGCACCGGCUAACUACGUG
rnacentral:rRNA from 1 species